rnacentral:rRNA from 1 species
AGUGUAGGCGGUCAAGCAAGUCAGGGGUGAAAGGCAUCGGCUCAACCGAUGUAAGCCUUUGAAACUGUUUGACUUGAGUGCAGGAGAGGUAAGUGGAAUUCCUAGUGUAGCGGUGAAAUGCGUAGAUAUAGGAGGAACACCAGUGGCGAAGGCGACUUACUGGACUGUAACUGACGCUGAGGCUCGAAAGCGUGGGGAGCGAACA